rnacentral:rRNA from 1 species
UACGGGGGGGGCAAGCGUUGUUCGGAAUUAUUGGGCGUAAAGCGCACGUAGGCGGCACGCUAUGUCGGGUGUGAAAUCCCUCGGCUUAACCGAGGAAGUGCAUUCGAAACUGGCGCGCUGGAGUACUGAAGAGGGUCGCGGAAUUCCCGGUGUAGAGGUGAAAUUCGUAGAUAUCGGGAGGAACACCAGUGGCGAAGGCGGCGACCUGGGCAGAUACUGACGCUGAGGUGCGAAAGCGUGGGGAGCAAACAGG